rnacentral:rRNA from 1 species
GGUUGAUCCUGCCAGUAGUCAUAUGCUUGUCCCAAAGAUUCAGCCAUGCAUGUCCAAGUAUAAAUCAUUGUACGGUGAAACUGCGAAUGGCUCAUUAUAUCAGUUAUAAUUUACAUGAUGAUCACUUUACUACAUGGAUAACCGUGGUAAUUCUACAGCUAAUACAUGCCAAGGGCCCGACUCAGGGAGGGCCGUAUUUAUUAGAUAAAACCAACGCCAGCAAUGGCCAGUGGCGAGUCAUGAUAACUGCGCGGAUCGCAUGGCCGUGUGCCGGCGACGCAUCAUUCAGAUUU